rnacentral:rRNA from 1 species
GGGCGUGCCUAAUACAUGCAAGUCGAGCGGACAGAUGGGAGCUUGCUCCCUGAUGUYAGCGGCGGACGGGUGAGUAACACGUGGGUAACCUGCCUGUAAGACUGGGAUAACUCCGGGAAACCGGGGCUAAUACCGGAUGCUUGAUUGAACCGCAUGGUUCAAUUAUAAAAGGUGGCUUUUAGCUACCACUUACAGAUGGACCCGCGGCGCAUUAGCUAGUUGGUGAGGUAACGGCUCACCAAGGCRACGAUGCGUAGCCGACCUGAGAGGGUGAUCGGCCACACUGGGACUGAGACACGGCCCAGACUCCUACGGGAGGCAGCAGUAGGGAAUCUUCCGCAAUGGACGAAAGUCUGACGGAGCAACGCCGCGUGAGUGAUGAAGGUUUUCGGAUCGUAAAACUCUGUUGUUAGGGAAGAACAAGUACCGUUCGAAUAGGGCGGUACCUUGACGGUACCUAACCAGAAAGCCACGGCUAACUACGUGCCAGCAGCCGCGGUAUACGUAGGGCAGCGUGUCCGAUUAUGGGCGUAAGCSSGCGCAGCGUUCUAGUCUGAUGUGAAGCCCCCG